GACCAAGUGGUUAUCUUCUAGGUGUAAAAUAUUGGCAUUUAUCGAACAAGUCGAUACGAUUGUAGUAUUUCAUAGUACUUCUUAAUUAGCUGGAUAUGCUCUACUCCAGCUUGCUCGCGGGACACAUCUAAAUCCUCCAUCUCCUCGGACCUCUGUUGUCACGACGUCCUAUUUUUGUUAUUUAUAUGAAGAACAUGUGGCACUCGACCUGAAUAUUGGGAUGUUCAUCACUGGUCCUUCGACACAUUGCUUCGAUGCCGAUAAUAUUUCCAGCUAGAUUUGAUGACCUUUCCAUUUACAUGGUGUUAUUUCAGUGCUAGCUGGAGAUGGUGGGGAUGAGACUGAAGCAGUGAGCCAUCGUAAUUCCGUGGGUGGCACCGGCAAGCGUGCAAUAGUCCAACGUCACGGCAGAUCUUAUCUUGCCUCAUGGCCACCAUGGGUGCUCCAUAGGAGCCACGCUGCCCAUGUUGAACAAUCUUUGGCCGCUUCACGUCCUCAACUGAACUAGGUUAUGAUUCAUCUCCUCAAUUGACAUACUUCAUUGUCAAUGAUACCCUUGGCGAACGGUGCAUCAAUGGUACACCGUUAAUCUGUUCAUGCCGCUCACCAUGUGGCGAUAGAAGGAAGCAUGGCUAACAUCGAAAGGAGGCACGUACAACAUCCUAAGGAAGCGUGGCAAACAUCGGCCAGUGAUGUCUGCAUUGCGCCUAGA